CUUCAGCGACAAGCUCACACCUCACCGUGGUGCUGAAGUCUAGUAACCUGUCCGUUGAUGGACAGGCGAAGCUAAGAUGAGC
rnacentral:ribozyme from 1 species